UAGAACCGUGGUAAGCGCGUAGGAGGAGGACCAGGUAAAUCCGGGCCUCAUAAACUCUGAGACGUGAUACCGAGCCGCUUCAGGCGAAGUCAUUGAUCCUAUGCUGCCUAGAAAAGCCCAGCAGCGAGUUGACAUGGUGCCCGUACCCCAAACCAACACAGGUGGACAGGUAGAGCAUACCAAGGCGAGUGGGAUAACUAUGGUUAAGGAGCUCGGCAAAUUGCCUCCGUAACUUCGGGAGAAGGAGGACCCCAGUAGCGUGAUGAGACUUGCUCUCUGAGCGUGAAGGGGUGGCACAAAAUUGAGGGAAGCGACUGUUUACCAAAAACACAGCAGCGUGCUAAGCCGUAAGGCGCUGUAUACGCUGUGACUCCUGCCCCUGCUGGAAGGUUACGGGGAUGGGUUAGUCCUUCGGGACGAAGCUCUGAACCUAAGCCCCAGUAAACGGCGGCCGUAACUAUAACGGUCCUAAGGUAGCGAAAUUCCUUGUCGGGUAAGUUCCGACCUGCACGAAUGGAGUAACGACUUCCCUACUGCCUCAACCAUAGACCCAGCGAAAUUGAAGUACGAGUAAAGAUGCUCGUUAGCUGCAGAAGGACGGAAAGACCCCGUGGACCUUUACUAUAACUUGAUGUUGUGUUUUGUCAUAUGUUGUGUAGGAUAGGUGGGAGACUUGGAAGCAUGGACGCUAGUCUGUGUGGAGUCAUCGUUGAAAUACCACCCUGCAUAUGGUGAGGCUCUAACCUAGACCCGUUAUCCGGGUUGGGGACAGCGUCAGGCGGGUAGUUUAACUGGGGCGGUUGCCUCCUAAAGAGUAACGGAGGCGCCCAAAGGUUCCCUCAGCCUGGUUGGCAAUCAGGCGUUGAGUGCAAUGGCAAAAGGGAGCUUGACUGCGAGACCUACAAGUCGAGCAGGAGCGAAAGCUGGGCAUAGUGAUCCGGCGGUUUGCGUGUGGAAGCGCCGUCGCUCAACGGAUAAAAGGUACCCCGGGGAUAACAGGCUAAUCUUGCCCAAGCGUCCAUAGCGACGGCAAGGUUUGGCACCUCGAUGUCGGCUCAUCGCAUCCUGGGGCUGAAGCAGGUCCCAAGGGUUGGGCUGUUCGCCCAUUAAAGCGGUACGCGAGCUGGGUUCAGAACGUCGUGAGACAGUUCGGUCCCUAUCCUCUGCAGCCGGAGGUGAAUUGAGGAAAGCUGUCCCUAGUACGAGAGGACCGGGACGGACGCAGCUCUCGUGUGCCAGUUGUCCUGCCAAGGGCAUGGCUGGUUAGCGACCUGCGGAAAGGAUAACCGCUGAAAGCAUCUAAGCGGGAAGCCUCUUCCAAGAUGAAUUCACCCACAGGGUUAACCUGGUAAGGCCCGUGGUAGACCACCACGUUGAUAGGCCGGAAGUGUAAGCGUGGCAACACGUUCAGCUGACCGGUACUAAUCGGCCGAGGGCUUG
rnacentral:rRNA from 1 species